CCUGCCCCUAGAGUCAUGGUAGGCAUAGCUACUGUGUCACAUGUAUGUCAGUGGGUGGCAGGAGGAGAGGGGCUAUGUCUAUUCUCAGUGUUUUGACAUAUGGACAUCUGAAUGCUUAGUAGCCCAAUAUU